rnacentral:lncRNA from 1 species
GAUGAAGAGAAGACAAGCCCAAUUCCAUGAUCUAAAACCCAAACCGGCCGAACCCAAAAUGUCCACCGUAGAUUUUUAAUCUCUAAAACUUAGCUUAAUCCCAUUUUCAAAUCCAGCCCAUCCCCUUCUUCGGCUCAAACGGCGCCGUUUGGGAUCAACUUCUUCCUUCUCGUCGAUAGAAGGCAUGUUCAGGCUGGGGGGGAAAAUGAAAAAAUCGAAAGAGAGGGGGCAGGUGAGAUGGGCUGACAGAGAACUGAUGAUGAUAGUUGAGAGCUGAUGACUCAAGGUAGAAAGAUAAGACGAGUCCAGAGAGCAAUUUGCAAAGAAGAAAGAAAUAGAAGAAUGGCGUCGGUUGAUGAAGAAAGGAAGAAGGGGGGGACCGGGUGAUUACGUGACAGAAGAAAGGAGCAGCAGAAGAUGAGGAUAAUCGUUUAUCCGGAGUGGAAUGCUGUGAAAGAACCAAAAAUACAGAGAAGGGACAGAGACGAAGAAAAAAAAAAAAGAGUGAGAAAGAAAAGAAGAGAAACAGUGAGCAGACAAAGAGCAAGAAGAAAUCAAGAGCAAAGAGAGGAACAUCCAGUGCCCGUUGAGUGAAGGAAAAGGUGGGUGUGUCGAGGAAGAGGCGAGUCGUCCUUCCUCUUCUCGGCAAAGCAGUGGAAAGAAGACGGAUCCAACGCAGAAGAGGAGUCGUGUUUACACAGGGUUCUUUUGGUAAAGGAACUGGAGCGAGCCCCAGAUUCUGUUUGGGAUAUGUGUAUAUCCCAAUCCUUCUUAUGUUUAAUACGAACGCCUGAAAUAGUUGACAAUAAAUGAAAUUGAUUUUGAAGCUUUAUGCUUGACGAAAUGAUGUUAUCCAAGCUAGUUAGGAUAUUUUAAAGUGUAUCAAUGACCGAAUUGAUUAAUUUGGGGAUUCUUCUCUGUUUCUUUCCUGUAAUCUCAUAUCUCUAAUGACACCCUUGAUUUGGAGUGAGAAGAAUGAUCCUUAGGUGUUCGCAUUCAAAUUGAAUGAGAAUGAAAAUUAAUGUAUUUCAAAGUGUGGUCGAAUCGAUUCGUCGCAGUAUCAUCUAAGUAAUUGUUUCG